rnacentral:rRNA from 1 species
GAUGAACGCUGGCGGCGUGCCUAAUACAUGCAAGUCGAGCGACGCGAGGACGGGUGAGUAACACGUGGAUAACCCCCCAUAAUACUGUGACAACCUCGGGCAACCGGAGCUAAACCGGACACUUAUAGAUGGAUCCGUGCUGCAGUAGCUAGUUGGUAAGGUAACGGAGUACCAAGGCAACGAUGCAUAUCCGAACUGAACGGAGGAUCAGACGAAGUGGAACUGGGACACGGCCCAGACGCCUACGGGUGGCAGCAGAAGGGAGUCUGCCGCAAAGUGCGCAAGCCUAACGGAGCAACGCCGCGAGAGUGAUGAAGGUCUUCGGAUCGUAAAACUCUGUGAUUCAGGAAGCGGUACCUAAUCAGAGAGCCACGGCUAACUACGUGCCAGCAGCCGCGGUAAUAC